rnacentral:rRNA from 1 species
GUGUCAGCAGCCGCGGUAAUACGUAGGUGGCAAGCGUUGUCCGAAAUUAUUGGGCGUAAAGGGUGCGUAGGCGGUUUUUUAAGUGAGAUGUGAAAUACCUAGGCUUAACUUAGGAAUGGCAUUCCAAACUGGAAGACUAGAGUGCAGGAGAGGAAAGUGGAAUUCCCAGUGUAGCGGUGAAAUGCGUAGAGAUUGGGAGGAACACCAGUGGCGAAGGCGACUUUCUGGACUGUAACUGACGCUGAGGCACGAAAGCGUGGGGAGCAAACAGGAUUAGAAACCCUAGUAGUCC